UACGUAGGGUGCGAGCGUUGUCCGGAUUUAUUGGGCGUAAAGGGCUCGUAGGCGGCGUGUCGCGUCGGGAGUGAAAGCCCGGGGCUUAACCCCGGGUCUGCAUUCGAUACGGGCAGGCUAGAGUUCGGUAGGGGAGAUCGGAAUUCCUGGUGUAGCGGUGAAAUGACGCAGAUAUCAGGAGGAACACCGGUGGUGUAGACGGCUCUCUGGACCGUAACUGACGCUGAGGCACGAAAGCGUGGGUAGCAAACAGG
rnacentral:rRNA from 1 species